CAGUGGCGGGCGGGCCUACACAUGCAAGUCGAGCGGCAGCGGAAGUAGCUUGCUACUUUGCCGGCGAGCGGCGGACGGGUGAGUAAUGUCUGGGAAACUGCCUGAUGGAGGGGGAUAACUACUGGAAACGGUAGCUAAUACCGCAUAACGUCGCAAGACCAAAGAGGGGGACCUUCGGGCCUCUUGCCAUCAGAUGUGCCCAGAUGGGAUUAGCUAGUAGGUGGGGUAACGGCUCACCUAGGCGACGAUCCCUAGCUGGUCUGAGAGGAUGACCAGCCACACUGGAACUGAGACACGGUCCAGACUCCUACGGGAGGCAGCAGUGGGGAAUAUUGCACAAUGGGCGCAAGCCUGAUGCAGCCAUGCCGCGUGUAUGAAGAAGGCCUUCGGGUUGUAAAGUACUUUCAGCGGGGAGGAAGGCGUUGAGGUUAAUAACCUCAGCGAUUGACGUUACCCGCAGAAGAAGCACCGGCUAACUCCGUGCCAGCAGCCGCGGUAAUACGGAGGGUGCAAGCGUUAAUCGGAAUUACUGGGCGUAAAGCGCACGCAGGCGGUCUGUCAAGUCGGAUGUGAAAUCCCCGGGCUCAACCUGGGAACUGCAUUCGAAACUGGCAGGCUAGAGUCUUGUAGAGGGGGGUAGAAUUCCAGGUGUAGCGGUGAAAUGCGUAGAGAUCUGGAGGAAUACCGGUGGCGAAGGCGGCCCCCUGGACAAAGACUGACGCUCAGGUGCGAAAGCGUGGGGAGCAAACAGGAUUAGAUACCCUGGUAGUCCACGCCGUAAACGAUGUCGACUUGGAGGUUGUGCCCUUGAGGCGUGGCUUCCGGAGCUAACGCGUUAAGUCGACCGCCUGGGGAGUACGGCCGCAAGGUUAAAACUCAAAUGAAUUGACGGGGGCCCGCACAAGCGGUGGAGCAUGUGGUUUAAUUCGAUGCAACGCGAAGAACCUUACCUACUCUUGACAUCCAGAGAACUUAGCAGAGAUGCUUUGGUGCCUUCGGGAACUCUGAGACAGGUGCUGCAUGGCUGUCGUCAGCUCGUGUUGUGAAAUGUUGGGUUAAGUCCCGCAACGAGCGCAACUCUUAUCCUUUGUUGCCAGCGGUUAAGCCGGAACUCAAAGAGACUGCCAGUGAUAAACCUGAGGAGGGUGGGAUGACGUUCAAGUCAUCAUGCCUUACGGAGUAGGCUACACGUGCUACAUGCCGCAUACAAGAGAGCCGACCCCUCGCGAGAGAACCAAGGCCGG
rnacentral:rRNA from 1 species